AUUGAACGCUGGCGGCAUGCCUUACACAUGCAAGUCGAACGGCAGCACGGGGGCAACCCUGGUGGCGAGUGGCGAACGGGUGAGUAAUACAUCGGAACGUGUCCUGUAGUGGGGGAUAGCCCGGCGAAAGCCGGAUUAAUACCGCAUACGCUCUACGGAGGAAAGGGGGGGAUCUUAGGACCUCCCGCUACAGGGGCGGCCGAUGGCAGAUUAGCUAGUUGGUGGGGUAAAGGCCUACCAAGGCGACGAUCUGUAGCUGGUCUGAGAGGACGACCAGCCACACUGGGACUGAGACACGGCCCAGACUCCUACGGGAGGCAGCAGUGGGGAAUUUUGGACAAUGGGGGCAACCCUGAUCCAGCAAUGCCG
rnacentral:rRNA from 1 species